AUUGAACGCUGGCGGCAUGUUUUACACAUGCAAGUCGAACGGUAACAGGCCGCAAGGUGCUGACGAGUGGCGAACGGGUGAGUAAUGCAUCGGAACGUGCCCAGUCGUGGGGGAUAACUGCUCGAAAGAGCAGCUAAUACCGCAUACGAUCUAUGGAUGAAAGCGGGGGACCGUAAGGCCUCGCGCGAUUGGAGCGGCCGUUGUCAGAUUAGGUAGUUGGUGGGGUAAAGGCUCACCAAGCCAACGAUCUGUAGCUGGUCUGAGAGGACGACCAGCCACACGGGGACUGAGAAACGGCCCAGACUCCUACGGGAGGCAGCAGUGGGGAAUUUUGGACAAUGGGGGCAAGCCUGAUCCAGCAAGGCCGCGUGCAGGAAGAAGGCCUUCGGGUUGUAAACUGCUUUUGUACGGAACGAAACGGUCUGGGUUAAUACCCUGGGCUAAUGACGGUACCGUAAGAAUAAGCACCGGCUAACUACGUGCCAGCCGCCGCUGUAAAAC
rnacentral:rRNA from 1 species